GAGUCUUGUGGUAGUGUAGUUGCCUUGGUUUGGAAGAUCAAUGGUUCAAUCUGUGGUCUUUUCAAACCAAAGAUAUUAAAAUUGGUAUUUGCUGUUUCUCCACAUAGCAUCUAGCAUAGAUCAGGUCAGGUCAUAAUCUGAACAAUUUUUUCAUAUGGUGUGACAUGUCUUUCUGCGGACCUUUGUGAGAUAACUUGUUAAGAAAACUGGCUUAGCUUUUGUGUAGUACAAAACAAGAUUAUUGAUCAUAUCACAAUGAUAUCAACCUAAAUAUGCAUGUAAUAUUUGCCACUGGAUGUAAAUAUCCACCAAUCAAAAGGCAAAGCAGAUUGAAAGCAUUGUAUUUCUAACAAGGAAUGUUUGAGUAGCAACACUAUAUUUUUACCCUUUCUAGCAUCUUAUAUAAUCAGAUAAUGAAAUAUUAUCGUUGUUAGCCUUGGGUUUUUAUCUUUGUAGAAAAUGUGUAUGUCAGUUCCAUGAAUAUUUUUACCUAUAUAAAUUUCUUUGAAGAAAGAAAAAAUUGGUAAUGGGCAUU
rnacentral:lncRNA from 1 species